rnacentral:rRNA from 1 species
AAUUCGAUGCUACACGAAGAACCUUACCUGGGUUUGACAUAGGGGUAGUAGGGAAGCGAAAGCGGACCGACCUUCGGGAGCCUCUACAGGUGUUGCAUGGCUGUCGUCAGCUCGUGUCGUGAGAUGUUCGGUUAAGUCCGCUAACGAGCGCAACCCUCGCUGUGCGUUACAAGUGUCACACGGUACUGCCGAUAUUAAGUCGGAGGAAGGUGGGGAUGACGUCAAGUCAGCAUGACCUUUAUAUCCAGGGCUACACACACGCUACAAUGGCCAGUACAAUGGGUUGCCAAGCCGCGAGGCGGAGCCAAUCCUAAAAAGCUGGCCUCAGUUCAGAUUGCAGUCUGCAACUCGACUGCAUGAAGUUGGAGUUGCUAGUAACCGCAGGUCAGCAAUACUGCGGUGAAUACGUUCCCGGGGAUU